ACUUAGGAGAUGGUAGACCUAAAUGCCAAAGACCCUGGUUCCUUGAGUGAUUAUGUGGAGAAAAGUCCACAUGCUAAACUGAAUUGAGCAUGACGAGGACCUUCAUUUUUAUUUAGCUACCAAGACUAGGUAGUAUUGCUUGCUUACUCAUUUUAUAAAAUUCAUGUGCCCAUUUCUCAGACAAGGAAAGAGAGACCCUUAGAAGUGACCAGCCUCUUCCACAGUAUUUUGACGAGAAAUUUGACGUCGGGAUGUUUGACAUCUACUGUUGAGAGAAGAAACUUGGAGUCACUGUAAAAAUACAGAAGUUGCCAUAAAAAAACCCCACCAUGCUUUGGAAAACAUCUCUUUGAGAUGUUAGCAAAAAGUAAUAUCAUAGUACCAGUCAUGACGGCCCGUUUCUGUCACUAAUAAGUUCUGACAUAUUCCUGUCAUCUUGUAACACAUCAUUCUGUUGUAGAAGCUAGCAUAGCUCACUGGAGCCUGCAGCUUUUGGAAAUGGAAGACAAGCUGUGGUUACCACUUAAGCAGCACCCUGAGGAUGGAGCGCUAGGAAAGGAUGCAGAAGAUGCAAGAACAAAUCUACCAGCAUCAGCAGCAUGUCCUAUGUGAGCACAGGCUCUCCUGGACACUAGUGCUCAUGCUUGUAUUUGAGUGCUAUUCUGCAAUAAGAUUUAGAACCACCUGGGAGAUUGGUAAGGCACACUUCUUGCCUUGUCUUGGCGGGCAUCUGGAGAGAGCAGAGGAGGAAAGACUGUCUCUGAAUGUGAGUGGCACCAUCUCCAAGGGGCAGAAGCCACAGUAGAUUGGAAGACAAAGAAAGAGAAAGCCCAUUGUGUGCAGGCAUCGUUUUCCAUUGCCCUGCGAUGGUAAGAUCCGGGCUAACCCUCCAAGCUUUCCUCACCAUCAUAGACUGUGCGCCCUCUCCAACUAUGAGGCAAAAUAAAUUCUCAU